rnacentral:rRNA from 1 species
GCUAACUAUCAAGCCUUUAAAUUCUUAAAUAUAUUACCUCGACUGCCACAACACAAAACAUUCUAUUGUUUAAGUAAAGGCGAUUAAAAAAUCUCUAAGAGCUUCAACUCAGUACCGCAAGGGAAAGAUGAAAUAUAAAUGAAAUAAGAUAAAGCACAGGAUAGUAGAGAUUAAAGCUCGUACCUUUUGCAUCAUGGUCUAGCAAGUCACCAUCAAGCAUAAAGGUACUUAAGUUUGAUUCCCCGAAACUAGGCGAGCUACUUCAAAAUAGCAUCUAGAGCCAACCCGUCUCUGUAGCAAAAGAGUGGGAAAAUUUUCAAGUAGUAGUGACAAGCCUACCGAGCCUAGAGAUAGCUGGUUAUUCAAGAAAAGAAUUUUAGUUCUACCUUAAGCCCAAAUAUGAUUAUAAACAAUAUGCCAUACUUAAGAGCUAUUCAAAUAAGGCACAGCUUAUUUGAAAAAGGUUACAACCUAAAUCUUUGGGUAAACCCCUAUAACCUUAAUAAAGUAGGCCUAAAAGCAGCCACCUUUAAAAAAGCGUUAAAGCUUCCUUUUUAAUAUACCAAAUUUGUUACACAACUAUGAACCCGUCACCAGUAUUGAAUAAAAUCAUAAAUUAUGAAAAUUAUUAUGCUAGAACUAGUAACAAGAAAAUGAAUUUCUCCAAAGCGUAAGCAUAAACCAAUGAUGGACAACCCAUUGGCACAUAACGGCACUGAAUUGACUAUAGUAACAAACCUAGAAAACCCUAUUAACUCAAACCGUUAACCUUACACAAGAACCCUUCUGGAAAGAUUAAGAGGAAGAGAAGGAACUCGGCAAAUGUUAGCCCCGCCUGUUUACCAAAAACAUCGCCUCCUGUUUAAAUAUAAGAGGUCCAGCCUGCCCAGUGUUUUAAUUCAACGGCCGCGUGAUUUAAGCGCGCGAAGGUAGCAUAAUAAUUUGUUCUUUAAAUGUGGACUUGUAUCAAUGGCAUCACGAGGGCUAUACUGUCUCCUCUCCCCAAUCAGUGAAACUAAUCUCCCUGUGAAAAAGCAGGGAUAAGACUAUAAGACGAGAAGACCCCAUGGAGCUUAAAACACUGCAUUAAUACUAAUUACACUGUCAAUAUAAUUUUAUACUAUACAUGCUCGUUUUAGGUUGGGGUGACCGCGGAGUAAAACAAAACCUCCACAACGAAAAGGGAGUUGUACCUUUAUCUAAGAGACACUUUUCUAAGAAUUAUUUAAUAUAACGUCUAAUGACCCGACUAUCGAUCAACGGACCAAGUUACCCUGGGGAUAACAGCGCAAUCCACUUUAAGAGCUCCUAUCGACAGGUGGGCUUACGACCUCGAUGUUGGAUCAGGAUAUCCCAGUGGUGCAGCUGCUACUAAAGGUUUGUUUGUUCACAAUUAAAAUCC